rnacentral:rRNA from 1 species
AGUUCGGAUUGAAGGCUGAAAUUCGCCUACAUGAAGCUGGAAUUGCUAGUAAUGGCAGGUCAGCAUACUGCCGUGAAUACGUUCCCGGGCCUUGUACACACCGCCCGUCACACCAUGAGAGUUGGGGAUACCCGAAGCCUGUGAGCCAACUGUAAAGAGGCAGCAGUCGAAGGUAGAAUCAAUGAUUGGGGUGAAGUCGUAACAAGGUAAC